UACGUGAGGGGCAAGCGUUGUCCGGAUUUAUUGGGCGGUAAAGAGCGUGUAGGCGGCUUGGUAGGUCUGCUGUGAAAACUCGAGGCUCAACCUCGAGCUGUCGGCGGAAACCACUUGGCUAGAGUCCGGAAGAGGAGAGUGGAAUUCCUGGUGUAGCGGUGAAAUGACGCAGAUAUCGGGAAGAACACCCGUGGCGAAGGCGGCUCUCUGGGACGGUACGUGACGCUGAGACGCGAAAGCGUGGGGAGCGAACGAGGA
rnacentral:rRNA from 1 species